rnacentral:rRNA from 1 species
GAUGAACGCUGGCGGCGUGCCUAAUACAUGCAAGUCGAGCGAACGGACGAGAAGCUUGCUUUUCUGAUGUUAGCGGCGGACGGGUGAGUAACACGUGGAUAACCUACCUAUAAGACUGGGAUAACUUCGGGAAACCGGAGCUAAUACCGGAUAAUAUUUUGAACCGCAUGGUUCAAAAGUGAAAGACGGUCUUGCUGUCACUUAUAGAUGGAUCCGCGCUGCAUUAGCUAGUUGGUAAGGUAACGGCUUACCAAGGCAACGAUGCAUAGCCGACCUGAGAGGGUGAUCGGCCACACUGGAACUGAGACACGGUCCAGACUCCUACGGGAGGCAGCAGUGGGGAAUAUUGCGCAAUGGGCGAAAGCCUGACGGAGCAACGCCGCGUGAGUGAUGAAGGUCUUCGGAUCGUAAAACUCUGUUAUUAGGGAAGAACAUAUGUGUAAGUAACUGUGCACAUCUUGACGGUACCUAAUCAGAAAGCCACGGCUAACUACGUG